ACAUCCCACAGGCCACAAGGGAGCGCAGUUCAGCAGGACCCAUGGCCAGGCAGGGUAUAUCUGAAGAACAAAAAAUGGACCUGAAACUUCUCAAGAAACCACUGCAUCAGGAACACACCUUUGAAAAUUACCCUAAACCUGUACUAGUUAUAAACUUUUAAAAACUGUCUAUCUCAUCUAUGCUCAGACUGCCAGAGCUAUCUGUAAAUCAUCCAGGGAUUUAAUAUCACCACUCACAUUCUAGGAGCAACUGAUGAUAUUAAACUUCAGAGUUUUAGAGUGCUAUCAUUCAUUCUGACCCCAACCAGGCAACUGAGAGCAAGAGAUUCUUUCCCCAGGGCACUUCUCAUCUCUUCCAACUAUAUCAAGAAUCGUCUUGAAGGAUGCUGUCUUAGAGAAAUGUAAACAUGAUAAGACUACGAACUAUAGAGUAAAAUAGCAACUGUCGGAUGGAGAAGCAGCUGUGGCUUUAAUAUGUGAGAGCCUCUCAUAGAGAUAAAGCUUUUUGAAGGGGUGGAAAAAUUGACAAUAAGGGUCUCUCACAACUCUCUUGUACGAAUGAAAUAGAAAACAUGUUUGAUGCUUUUCUGUUCUCCUUAAUAUAUAUAAAAUUAAGUUACUCCAAAAUAAUGCUUCGUAUUUGUGUCCAUGGAAACUGCAGCACAUACAAAAAACCACAAUAAUACUAUUUGACAGAGCAAAUUCUUAUCUAUGAAAUGCUAUUUUUCAACAUUGUCACCACCAUUAGCUGAUUUGUGCGGAUGAGCUGAUUUAGAUGCUCUUCAUUUUGUUGUAUGACAGCUGUGCAUAGCCAUCCACAAUGUGGAUUGUUUUAAUGUCAUCACCACUGCAGAAAUGCACCACUGCCUCACUGCGCUCACAUCCACGUUCGGACUCCAGAAAUGUUCAGUAGUUGAUAAAUGUCAAUGGGUGCCAUUUUUUUCCACACGGAGGAAUUGAAUUUCACACCUUUUCUUCAUCCACAUUUCCUUCUUUGACUCCUUUCUGUCAGACUGCC
rnacentral:lncRNA from 1 species